CCAGCAGCUGCGGUAAUUCCAGCUCCAAUAGCGUAUAUUAAAGUUGUUGCAGUUAAAGAGCUCGUAGUUGGAUUUCUGGGAGGGUGCCAAUGUCCGCCGACGUGCGUGUGCAGCGGCGCCCUUCCAUCCUUCUGUUAACGCCUCUUGGCAUUCAUUUGCUGGUGGCGGGCUCAGAUAUUUUACCUUGAGAAAAUUAGAGUGUUUCAGGCAGGCUAGGCCGGAAUACAUUAGCAUGGAAUAACGAAUGUGUCUGGAAUAUUGGUUAAUUCUAGAUUACGAUUAAUAGGGACAGUUGGGGGCAUUAGUAUUUAAUUGUCAGAGGUGAAAUUCUUGGAUUUAUUAAAGACUAACGUAUGCGAAAGCAUUUGCCAAGGAUGUUUUCA
rnacentral:rRNA from 1 species